UGGCGGAGCCAUCCUUGGGAUACCACCCUUGUAGUACUGGGACUCUAACCAUAGGCCAUGAAUCUGGUCUUGGGACACUGUCAGGUGGGCAGUUUGACUGGGGCGGUCGCCUCCCAAAAGGUAACGGCGGCGCUCAAAGGUUCUCUCAGUACGGUCGGAAAUCGUACGUAGAGUGUAAAGGCAAAAGAGAGCUUGAUUGCAAGACAUACAGGUCGAGCAAGGAUGAAAAUCGGACUUAGUGAUCCGGUGGUUCUGCUGGAAGGGCCAUCGCU
rnacentral:rRNA from 1 species